rnacentral:rRNA from 1 species
CCUACGGGGGGCAGCAGUGGGGAAUAUUGGACAAUGGGGGCAACCCUGAUCCAGCCAUGCCGCGUGUGUGAAGAAGGCCCUCGGGUUGUAAAGCACUUUCAGUGAGGAAGAACGCCUGGUGGUUAAUACCCAUCAGGAAAGACAUCACUCACAGAAGAAGCACCGGCUAACUCCGUGCCAGCAGCCGCGGUAAUACGGAGGGUGCGAGCGUUAAUCGGAAUUACUGGGCGUAAAGCGCGCGUAGGUGGCUUGAUAAGCCGGUUGUGAAAGCCCCGGGCUCAACCUGGGAACGGCAUCCGGAACUGUCAAGCUAGAGUGCAGGAGAGGAAGGUAGAAUUCCCGGUGUAGCGGUGAAAUGCGUAGAGAUCGGGAGGAAUACCGGUGGCGAAGGCGGCCUUCUGGACUGACACUGACACUGAGGUGCGAAAGCGUGGGUAGCAAACAGGAUUAGAUACCCCGGUAGUC